AAUUACAGCGGAUCAUUAGAGAUGGUACCUUGAUUAUCACAAUAGUAAAGACACAAAGGAGAAGUGUAGAAAAAAUACUGUGAAUCGAUCGAAGCAGUUAUACACUCGCACUGGCAGAUCAAAAAGCUUGGCAAGGCUCAGAGAAGAAGAUGUAAUUUACGUUUGACUCACUUUUUGAACCUUCUCUUCGUCUACUUAUUCACUAUUUAAGCUAUAUUGUUAUAAUCGGAACAACAAGGGCGUCCAGUUGGUAGAGGGGAGUUGUGGACCUUAACGCACAAAUGACUUAAUGGCUCCUAUCUCCAUGAUGUAGCUCGGGCUAUUGGUGUAAGAAAGAAUUGCAGAAAU